rnacentral:rRNA from 1 species
AUUGAACGCUGGCGGCAGGCCUAACACAUGCAAGUCGAGCGGAUGAAGGGAGCUUGCUCCUGGAUUCAGCGGCGGACGGGUGAGUAAUGCCUAUGAAUCUGCCUGGUAGUGGGGUAUAACGUCCGGAAACGGGCGCUAAUACCGCAUACGUCCUGAUGGAGCAAGUGGGGGAUGUUCGGACCUCACGCUAUCAGAUGAGCCUAGGUCGGAUUAGCUAGUUGGUGGGGUAAAGGCCUACCAAGGCGACGAUCCGUAACUGGUCUGACAGGCUGAUCAGUCACCUUGGAAGUGGGACACGGUCCAGGCUCCUACGGGAGGCAGCAGUGGGGAAUAUUAGACAGAGGGCGAAAGCCUGGUACAGCGAUGCCGCGUGUGUGAAGAAAGUGUUCCGAUUGUAAAGACGUUCAAGUUGGGAGGAAGGGCAGUAAGUUAAUACGUUGCUGUUUUGACGUUACCAGCAGAAUAAGCACCGGCUAACUUCGUG